GAUGAACGCUGGCGGCGUGCCUAAUACAUGCAAGUCGAGCGAACAGACGAGGAGCUUGCUCCUCUGACGUUAGCGGCGGACGGGUGAGUAACACGUGGAUAACCUACCUAUAAGACUGGGAUAACUUCGGGAAACCGGAGCUAAUACCGGAUAACAUGUUGAACCGCAUGGUUCAACAGUGAAAGACGGUCUUGCUGUUACUUAUAGAUGGAUCCGCGCCGCAUUAGCUAGUUGGUAAGGUAACGGCUUACCAAGGCAACGAUGAGUAGCCGACCUGAGAGGGUGAUCGACCACACUGGAACUGAGACACGGUCCAGACUCCUACGGGAGGCAGCAGUAGGGAAUCUUCCGCAAUGGGCGAAAGCCUGACGGAGCAACGCCGCGUGAGUGAAGAAGGUCUUCGGAUCGUAAAGCUCUGUUAUUAGGGAAGAACAAAUGUGUAAGUAACUAUGCACGUCUUGACGGUACCUAAUCAGAAAGCCACGGCUAACUACGUG
rnacentral:rRNA from 1 species